CCUACGGGCGGCAGCAGUGGGGGAUAUUGCACAAUGGGGGAAACCCUGAUGCAGCGACGCCGCGUGGGUGAAGAAGCGCCUCGGCGCGUAAAGCCCUGUCAGCAGGGAAGAAAAUGACGGUACCUGAAGAAGAAGCCCCGGCUAACUACGUGCCAGCAGCCGCGGUAAUACGCAGGGGGCAAGCGUUAUCCGGAUUUACUGGGUGUAAAGGGGGCGCAGACGGCGAUGCAAGCCAGGAGUGAAAGCCCGGGGCCCAACCCCGGGACUGCUGUUGGAACUGCGUGGCUAGAGUGCAGGAGGGGCAGGCGGAAUGCCUGGUGUAGCGGUGAAAUGCGUAGAUAUCAGGAGGAACACCGGUGGCGAAGGCGGCCUGCUGGACUGCAACUGACGUGGAGGCCCGAAAGCGUGGGGAGCAAACAGGAUUAGAUACCCGAGUAGUC
rnacentral:rRNA from 1 species